CCUACGGGGAGCAGCAGUCGAGAAUCAUUCACAAUGGGGGAAACCCUGAUGGUGCGACGCCGCGUGGGGGAAUGAAGGUCUUCGGAUUGUAAACCCCUGUCAUGUGGGAGCAAAUUAAAAAGAUAGUACCACAAGAGGAAGAGACGGCUAACUCUGUGCCAGCAGCCGCGGUAAUACAGAGGUCUCAAGCGUUGUUCGGAAUCACUGGGCGUAAAGCGUGCGUAGGCUGUUUCGUAAGUCGUGUGUGAAAGGCGCGGGCUCAACCCGCGGACGGCACAUGAUACUGCGAGACUAGAGUAAUGGAGGGGGAACCGGAAUUCUCGGUGUAGCAGUGAAAUGCGGAGAUAUCGAGAGGAACACUCGUGGCGAAGGCGGGUUCCUGGACAUUAACUGACGCUGAGGCACGAAGGCCAGGGGAGCGAAAGGGAUUAGAUACCCCGGUAGUC
rnacentral:rRNA from 1 species